GCCGCGGGGCUGCCCCGGGGCUGCCCCGGGGCUGCCCCGGGGCUGCCCCGGGGCUGCGGAGCGCGGCGGGAUGGGAUGGGGAUGGGAUGGGCCGGGCCGGGCCGGGCCGGGCCGGGGCCGCGCUGCGGGACCCGCUGAGCGAAUCAAUGUCAUGAUGCAAACUGUCUGUACAAAGUAAGGAAGCAACGUGUGAACCAGGUGAAUUCUUCUGUGCCUCAGCUUACCUGGAAGCACUGGCAAGAUCCAGGGCAGAGAGCCUGGAAGGGAUGAAGCCAAAUACCGGCACCCCCACGACUGCUCCUUGUCCGCUCAGGCUCUGGAGAUCACUCACAUCACCCACAGCAGGUUUGCUCAGGGAGGAAAGUUGCAGCUCUUACAGAAAACAACGUGACAGAGGUUUUGCUUCAACUUCUGAGCAAAGAAAGUAAAAAUUUCCAUAAUAUUUCUGGAGUGACCAGGAUUUUCCAGCUGUACAAAGCCAAAUGUAGAUUAUAAGGGUUUAUCACUGGGAUUUAUAUGCCCAUACAAAUGCAUCUCUGUGUAUGUAAAAGAUGAACAUGUGUGCAAUGUUGUUGUGCAGUAAAGGUAGAAGGGUUUAGGACUUCUGUUUUUCUUUGAAGAAACAAUCCAGGCCCCAGAAGGUUAAGAACUGUUUUAUAAAUCGACACAGUCAGCUUCAGCUCGUGACUUUCCAGCAGAGGGAAAUGCAGCACAAGUGAUGAGGGGCUGUGACAAUGGCAAGCAGCCCUGGCAAAUAUGAACUAUCUCUGUUCUCUUUUAACUUCACUUUCUUCCACUGCCAAACUCUGAUGCAUGCUGAGUGAUUAAAAAUAUCAAAUACAGUGUUA